rnacentral:rRNA from 1 species
UAAAAAUGUAAAUUUUAAAAUUAAAUAAUUAUUAGUUAUAAUCUUUAAAGUUAAAUAAUUUGGCGGUAUUUUAGUCUUUUCAGAGGAACCUGUUCUAUAAAUGAUAUUCCACGAUUAAAAAUUCUUAAGUUAGAAAUUUAUAUAUCAUCGUUAUUAAAUAUUUUUUUAGAAUUUAAUAUUUAUGAAAUAAAAUUAUAUUUUAGUUCAGAUCAAGGUAUAAUUUAUAUUUAAGUAGAAAUGGGUUACAAUAAUUUUAAUUUUGGAUUUUUUUUUUAAAAUUUAAAUGAAAUUGGAUUUGAAAGUAAUUAUUUUUUAUGUAUAAUGAUUAAGCUCUAAAAUAUGU